GAGACAUCUUAUUUUUGGCGAUACGCCGAUACUACUAUUUGUCAAAUGAAUUUGUUAGGAUGUAAGGUGGAUUUUAUUUGUGCUCUAUUAUUUUCUAAACAAUUUCAAAUAUUUGCUUAAAGAAGAAAUUAUUUGUUGAAUUCAAAAUUAAGCUCUCAGUGGUGCUGAUGCUUGUUGGCAUUGGUAAUAGUAAUUGGUUAAAUACUGGUUUAGGAAUUAGGAUUU
rnacentral:misc_RNA from 1 species